CAGCGCGCGGCGGCGGAAGGAUUCCACUGGCGCCGAUGGAACUCUGGCCGUGCGCGCCGCGGGGCUCCCCCGGCGGGCGGCAGGGGUGGGGGGGGGGGACUACUUUCUGGCGGCGCAGGGAUCCCGCGAAGGAGGAGGCGUGAUACGGUUAUUAGCCCAGGCCUCCGGUCGCCAUUACGGCAGUGAAGCUGCGAGGGAGAGGUGGCGGCGCGGUGUGAGCCGCUGGGCGGGCGUGGGCAGCGCUGGGGGCCGCCCUCAGCUUCAGUGCAUCCAGCCGGGUCACGUCGGGCUGAGGGGAGGCGGGCAGCAGGCAGGGAUGCCGUGCUGCGUCAGCUCCAGGUGGAUGGCGGUGGGAUGCGCUGCCUUCUGUCUUCGUACUGUGCGUUUGUUUAUGUAUGUAUGUAUGUAUGUAUGUUUUCAGUGCUGUCUGAGUAUACGGCAUCAGCUUUGUGUCAGAACCGCGCAGGUCUUAAGGAUAAACUGCUGAGAAUACCUACAGCGAGAGCCCUGCUCGCAGACGUGGCAGCAGGCACGUCGAAGCUGGGAAUGUGUCAGCAGCCCCCUUUGGUUUCUGCACAAAUACACGUCGCCGUGGCCGUCUGCUAAAUAUAACUAAAGACUGUAGUAUGGAGAAGUAGGAAGCCCCUUUGGAAUUGUCAGCGUGAAAACUAUAGAAGAAAGCAGAAACUCAAAGAUGAGAAGAAGCCUUAUUCCUCAGUAUGCUGUAUCUGUUCUUGGAAGAACUGUGGAGAAUGUGGAAGAACCAAUUACUGCUGAGGAAAAACUAAUGGCAGAAAAGACUGUCCUGUACAUUUAAGGACUGAAUUUUGCCAUUCAAGACAUUGUCUUAUUUCUUCAUGACAGUUUCCUUGUGGUUGGUUUGUGAUCUCACUCUAUGUGUCUAAUGUCCUUUAUCCCAGAAAUUUCUGAAUUGUUUGCAUAUUCUACCCAAAAUUAACAAAUCUACUGUUCUGUGAUUUCUUUGUUAGAGUUGGAAGGUACCCUUGAAGGCCAUCCUGUCCAACUGCCCCGCACUGAGCAGGGACACCUACAACUCAAUCAGAUGCUCAGAGCCCCCCCAGCCUUACCUCGUACAUCUCCAGGGAUGGGGCAUCCUCCACCUCUGUGGGCAACCUGUGCCAGUGCCUCACCUGCUCACUGUAAAAAAUCUUCUACCCUAUAUCCAAUCUAAAUCUCCUCUCUUUAUGUUUGAAACCACUUCCCCUUGUCCUGUCACAGCAGGCCCUGCUGAAGAGUCUGUCUCCUUCUUUCUUACAGCCCUCCUUUACAUACUGAAAGGCUGCUAUCAGGUCUCCCUAGAGCCUUCUCUUCUCCAGGCUGAAUAGCCCCAGCUCUCUCUGCCUGUUCUUGUAGGAGUGGUCUUCCAUCCCUUGGAUCAGUUCUGUGGCUCUCCUCUGGACGAAGUGGUGGUUUCGCAGACAGUGAAGCUCCGACCCACUUUGUGAAUAUGGCUGAUACCUGCAAGUGCCUCAGCAAUUGAGCAAAAAGUUGCCAUGUCAUCUCCUACUUUAACAUGCACAGAAGAGCUACUGUAAGGGAAAGCACUCGCAAGUACCAGAACCACAGGGAAACCUUCAACCAGGAUCUGCAAUUUUUAAAUCAAUUAAAAAAACUUGCAGGAAGCUGGUCAACUUUAAUUCUGGUCCUUCCAGAACUGGCUGUUGUUUUUCUUUUUUACUUGCAAAGGAUGUGAGAUAUAGGCAUGUGUAUGGAUAUUGCCAUACAUUGUAUGUCCAUCAGUUCUCUUGACUCAAAAAGCCACUGAAUGUGAGUUUGUACAGAUUUCAGGUAGAGAGACUCAUCAGCAAACAUUCUGAAGGGAACCUGAAAGAAGAAAGGUUGGAAGGGGGCUUGUCUUAAGAGUUUGCUUUAAUUGGCAAGUGUUAAAGCUACAUUCUGUGAGGAGAACAUAGAUUCCCCAAAUAGCCACUUCAUAGUUAGCAAAUGUAGUGAGGUGUUUUUUUCCCCGCAUAAGGAGUGGUUAAGACUAUUAUUUGUCCUGUAUAUCCUUAUUCUUUCUAAGCACAGGCCACAGAAGACAGCAGAGCGAAUGAGCCAAAGCCUUCAGAAAAUACAGCUUCAGCCUCUUUUUUUCCCCUCUCUGAAACCAGAACUAUUAACAGUUUUAAAUACUAAUGUUUCUACUGUCUGGAGAUUAUUUUUUAUGAGUAUUUUGAACCUUGGAGGUGAAACAUUUCUUCCUGCAUCCAAAACUAUAGUUUGACUGCACUGCUGGAGUGCAGAGUCAAUUGCGGCAGAGAGGAAAGGGAACUGAGGAAUGGAGAAAGGUUACAGAAGAGGAAGGUGUAGUUGCUUCCACCUUUUAACAGUGUUGCUAGAAGGCAUUAGCAGAAGUGGAAGAUCAAGGGGAAAUUGUUCCUGUCCAUGAAUUAAUUGAUCUUCUAAUCCAUGCAGCUUCUGAGGCUGUUCCACAGCGGGUUGAAGCCUCCUGUAGCCCUCUUUGUUAGAGUAGGUUGUGAGAAUGUGUUGUGCUCUAUCAUCAGCCUUGUGGGCUGCAAGCUGCUGCGAUUUGUGAAGAUAUCCUUGCACUGAGGGAUAAUGAAGACGUUAACUGCAUGGAGGUAUGUGGUGGGAAAGGAGGAUUGGAUAUUCAGAACAAAAUAAUUCUUAAACCACUGGAUGCUUUCACAUGCCUAUAUUGCUAUGUCAUAGAAUGGCCUGGGUUGAAAAGGCCCGCAAUGAUCAUCUAGUUUCAACCCCCUGCUAUAUGCAGGGUCACCAACCACCAGACCAGGCUGCCCAGAGCCACAUCCAGCCUGGCCUUGAAUGCCUCCAGGGAUGGGGCAUCCACAGCCUGUUCCAGUGCGUCACCAUCCUCUGUGUGAAAAACUUCCUCCUAAUAUCUGACCUAAACCUCCUGUCUCAGUUUAAAACCAUUCCCCCUUGUCCUAUCACUACCCACCCUCGUAAACAGCCAUUCUCCCUCCUGUUUAUAUGCUCCCUUUAAGUACUGGAAGGCUGCAAUGAGGUCUCCCUGGAGCCUUCUCUUCUCCAAGCUUAACAAGCCCCCUCAACCUUUCUUCAUAGCAGAGGUGCUCCAGCCCUCUGAUCAUCUUAGUGGCUCUCCUCUAGACUCGUUCCAAGAGUUCUGUAUCUUUAUUGUGCUGGGGGCCCCAGGCCUGGACGCAGUACUGCAGAUGGGGCCUCACAAGAGCUGAGUAGAGGGGGACAAUCACCUCCCUCUCCCUGCUGGCCACCCCUUGUGUAAUGCAGCCCAGAACACGGUUGGCCUUCUGGGAUGCAAGUGCACACUGCUGGUGCAGUGUGGUCCAGCAGUAGUUCGGCUUCCCAACCGUCUCAUCUAUGAAAUUUCUAGCAUAUGAAAAGUAUUGCAGAUCACGAUUGACAUUUUUGUCAUGUAGUCACAAUUAUGUACCUUUUGGGUUUGUUCUCUUUUUUAUUUUUUUAUUUUUUAUAUUUGGAAGAGCAUCCUGACAUUCCCCCAGCUUAGGAAUAUCACUUUAUACCGUCUAAGAUCUUUUAUAGAUCUCUUGGAGCAGGUCAAAUUAGUAUGUGUUGAUUCUUCAGAAAAUUUGUGAAUAUAUAAAUGUGUUGAAUGAAACAGAGGAAAUGGUAUCACCACAAACCCUUGCAGCAAAAUCUAUCCUGGAAACUUUUGCUUUAAUGCAGAGAUUUAUAAUUUCCUUCUGUAUGAAUGUUUCAUAGAGAAAAGUAUGCACUUUGUCUCCCUAAGUACAUUAAGAAAAGCAUGCCUGGAAUCAAGUUAAUUUCAGAUAAAUUACACUGCUUGCAGUCUGUUCUGCUGGAAAAUAUAUAGGUAUUACUUGUUAAGUAUUGUGUUUCUUUUAUAUUAAACACAACUCAGCCCGCUGGAUGGUAAGUAGGGUCUUGGAAUUGGAUAAGGUGAGACUCAUUAGUUUCUUUAGACUGAUGGUUGUUGCUCUGUUCUGUGUAAUGUUCUCAGAUUUUUCAAAGACUUUGUGCUUUAGUGAAACUGCUGGAAGAUUGUGCAAGACACGGGUUUUCUAUGGCUCUGGAAAGUAAAGCCAUCAUUCUCAAAUGGGACACUUGUUUCUGAGUUCCACUAUUAAUGCUUUUAUUAAGGCUGAAAUCAGCUAACAGAGCAAGAGUUAACUUUGUUCUAUAACUGAUCAAUGAAAUGCAACAAUAAAGCAUUUGCUAACUGACAAUGCUGCUAAUAUCUCCCAGCUGAGAUUUGGGAAUUCAGCUUUGUUUUAUUUCUGUUGUGCUGCCUUCCCGCUACAGGUUUCAUAACUGAUCUGCUCUCUGUACCUGGGCAAAGUUACUCCGGAAUUCAGUAUCCCAGCUGUCUGAAUGAGGACAGUUGGCAGUUUCUCUGUGGGAAAAUGAUAAAAAUCCUGUUGCAGUUUUGAGUGGUCUAAUAACCUCAGCAAUUGUAGAUAUUGUGUUUGAAUACCUGCCAGCCGCUGGCCAAGUCAUGCUCUCUUGAAACCUUUGCUGAAACUGGAGACUUGUGCUGUGUGGAAGGAUGGUGGUGGCUGAAUGAAGCCGGGACUGUUUGGACCUGGUACUCAGUUACAAGCAGUAUUUUGAAACCACAUACUGCACUAUGGGAUGGCUUAUCUAAGAACUAGUGUAAUGUAGGUUAGUAUUAUGUCCAUCUUGUCAUUUUUCUUAAUCCUGACAGCUACUAAAAACAAAGGCUGCAGAGGAAUUAAUUUUGGAGCUGAUGCUAUAAUCUACAUUCCUUCUUGGCAAGAAGCCUGUUUUUGGUCUUCUAAAGAUUUACGAAAGCUCUGAAACAUAAAGCUUGAUGUCUUUUGAAUGAAAUGGUAAUUACAUUUUCAAAUCCUUUAGGUACACUGUGACUGUGUCUGUUCCAGCUUUGUGUAUUUGUAGAUUCUUCUUUUCAGUGACUUGUUAUAGUGAGUUCCACUGACAAUGUGUGCUGACUUUUAAUUUUAAUAGAAAAAUUCACAGAUUAAAAAAUAUCCUCUUUUUAUUGACAGGUAUUCCUGCUUAGUGUUUGAGACUCAAUAUUUCUGUGCAGGUAAUCUAGAUAUCUGUUAAGCAGUCCCUUCUACAGACUUCUCAGAGAUAAAUAUAUUUUAAUAUAUGCUAGAAUGAAAAGCUGUGAUCUACAUUACUGUGUUUUAUGCUUAAUCCUGAAAAAGAGAGAAUCUCCUCACCCUGCAGAUUACUGUUUAAUAAGGACUCAUAAGAAUGUAAGCAACAUAAGGAAAAACAAGGAAGAGUUAAUGAGGAAAACAUUACUAAUACAGUGUGAAGAAGCCAGGUAGCAGUUCUGCAACUGUCCUACCCAACUACCCAUCUACUUAAGAAGUGACACUACCCCUGUAUGGAGUCCUUGUAGGAGUAAUGUGGAGAGAUCUGAAAGAUCCUCGUUUACCACCUAAGACCUCAUUUGAGAAAAUGAUGCAUCGAUAUCUGAAAUAAACUGUUAGGAGUGGUGUAAUAUAACCAAUAACAGCAGCUUGUUUUGCUGUAUGUCUCGGGCCUCGGACUCUAAUAUUAAACAUGUAAUGCUAGAGCAUGUUGGCACUUCCUGCUGAAUUUUGUUCUCCACAGCUUAUCCUACCUGGCAAACAAAGAAAGCCUGGAAAAUAGUACUGACUGUGUAUGACCAAAAGAAGGGUCCUCAUGUACUAAAGUAUUAAAAGAAGUUGAUUGGUUUGGUUUUUAUUUUUUUCCCCCAUGGUUUCUGUUGACUGAUAUAUAGUAUUAUGUAGAAGACCCUGUGUUAAGGAGCUGUGCUGAAUAUUGGAUGCCAGUGUGUCUGGACCAUGUAGAUUCCAAAAUAAAACUGCUACUGAUGCACCA